rnacentral:rRNA from 1 species
UACAGAGGGUGCAAGCGUUGUUCGGAAUUACUGGGCGUAAAGCGCGUGUAGGCGGUUUAGUAAGUUCUGUGUGAAAGCCCUGGGCUCAACCCAGGAAGUGCGCAGAAUACUGCUUGACUGGAGUGACGGAGAGGAUGGCGGAAUUCCCGGUGUAGAGGUGAAAUUCGUAGAUAUCGAGAGGAACACCGGUGGCGAAGGCGGCAUCCUGGACCGACAUUGACGCUGAACGGCGAAAGCUAGGGGAGCAAACGGG